rnacentral:rRNA from 1 species
AUGGCUCAUUAAAUCAGUAUCGUUUAUUUGAUAGUACCUUGCUACUGGAUAACCGUGGUAAUCUAGAGCUAAUACAUGCUAAAAUCCCGACCUGGAAGGGAUGUAUUUAUUAGAUAAAAAACCAAUGGCUUCGGCCUCCUGGUGAUUCAUGAUAACUCAACGAAUCGCAUGGCCUUGCGCCGGCGAUGGUUCAUUCAAAUUUCUGCCCUAUCAACUUUCGAUGGUAGGAUAGUGGCCUACCAUGGUUUCAACGGGUAACGGGGAAUUAGGGUUCUAUUCCGGAGAGGGAGCCUGAGAAACGGCUACCACAUCCAAGGAAGGCAGCAGGCGCGCAAAUUACCCAAUCCCGACACGGGGAGGUAGUGACAAUAAAUACUGAUACAGGGCUCUUUUGGGUCUUGUAAUUGGAAUGAGUACAAUUUAAAUCCCUUAACGAGGAACAAUUGGAGGGCAAGUUUGGUGCCAGCAGCCGCGGUAAUUCCAGCUCCAAUAGCGUAUAUUAAAGUUGUUGCAGUUAAAAAGCUUGUAGUUGAACCUUGGGUCUGGCUGGCCGGUCCGCCUCACCGCGUGCACUGGUCCGGCCGGAUCUUUCCUUUUGGCUAGCCGCAUGCCCUUCACUGGGUGUGUCGGGGAACCAGGACUUUUACUUUGAAAAAAUUAGAGUGUUCAAAGCAGGCAUAUGCUUGAAUACAUUAGCAUGGAAUAAUAGAAUAGGACGUGCGGUUUUAUUUUGUUGGUUUCUAGGACCGCCGUAAUGAUUAAUAGGGAUAGUCGGGGGCAUCAGUAUUCAAUUGUCAGAGGUGAAAUUUUUGGAUUUAUUGAAGACUAACUACUGCGAAAGCAUUUGCCAAGGAUGUUUUCAUUAAUCAGUGAACGAAAGUUAGGGGAUCGAAGACGAUCAGAUACCGUCGUAGUUUUAACCAUAAACUAUGCCGACUAGGGAUCGGGCGAUGUUCUUUUUCUGACUCGCUCGGCACCUUACGAGAAAUCAAAGUCUUUGGGUCUGGGGAGUAGGCCACGC